UCUAGAACUCGAGAUAUGGGCUGAACACUGAACAGUGUCUGGGCUGCAGGACAAAUUCGGACUUCUUCGUUGUUACUACAAUUUGGACUUGAAAACGGCCUUGUUAAAUCUUGGGCUCCCAUGAAAGUUGUAGACCUAUGUCUUAUCUUUCCAUC
rfam:Populus trichocarpa scaffold_6_contig_146, whole genome shotgun sequence.